CCUCCCCUCCCGCCCGCCCGCCCGGAGCUCCUCCUCCUCCUCCGCCUCCCGCCGCCGCGCCUCGCCGCGCCCCGCCCCGCCCUCCGCUCCAGUCAACCUGAUGGGGUGGGAGAAAAACGAGAAACAUCUCCUCAGCCUUAGUCUCCAAAGCCUACAAUCUUUGUGCAAGGAGUAUAACCUUCCUGCAAACAAGACCCACCCUCAGCUAGCUCGCUUGCUGGCCAUUUAUCUCGAGAAUGAAAAAAACAAUUCAGGACCUGAAAAGGAAAAUUUGACUGUUCCUACUUCUACACAGGCUUCUCCUGCUACCUCUCCUGCCAUGUUACCAAAUACCAAAGAAGCAUCCAAAUGUGAGCAAGAUAACCACAAAAGAGGCCCAUAUAGUGACAGAGAUGAUGAUGAUGUUAGGCCACCAUUAAAGCAUAAAAAAGUGUCUAGAAAACAAGCAGAUAGAAAAUUGAAAAGUGACUCUGGUACCAGAACGAGUCUUCCUCCGAUUUCUAGUAACAAUGGCAAAGGAGACUGCUUUAAUUCAUGUUCUGGACAAGGGAUUGCUCAUAAUGUGAAACAAACUGCUGAUGGUAUUGCAACGUGCUCAACAGCCCCAAAGCUUAAUGGAAAUCAUGUUUCAGUUGCUCCUGUGAAUGACACAAUUUCUUUCGUAGCAAGUCAUCCUGGUCCUAAUGGUGUGGCAUCAAAGCCUCCCAGCCAUAUGAAAGUUGGUACAAAUGGCAUAGAUAAGGGCAGUGGCUUGUCUAAUGAGAACUCGGCAAAUGUAAAAUCUCCUUUUAAACUUUUUCUGAUGGAUGAAGAUGGAAUUGAUCUAUUUGUUGAUCUUAAUUCCACUCCAGGAGAUUGGGUUGGCAGCUUCAAGGGUGGAGUGAACCUCCCUCCAAUCACACAUAACUCUGAAACUGAUAUGUUCACCAAUUCUAUUAGCAGCCUUAGGAAUAAGAAUGAUCAGAACACAAUGUCGCCACCAGAUAAUAUCAUUAUAGAUAUACAAGAUAAGGGACCUGAGAGCAUUGCUGCUUGCACCAGUUCAUCACUAGGUUCAACUGAUGGUGAGAAUUAUCGCUCCAAAUCCAAUCCACGUGAUACCAAUUCUAUUAACUUGAGGUCAUCUGCAUCCACAUUGCCUGGUACUGCUGUUGAAAUUUCUGUAUCUCAGGAGGGACCUCCAGUGGUACAUUCUUCAUGUUUAACAUCUGAUGUUCAGAACAACGUGUCACUUGAUAUGGUGGCUGGUGCUUUGGGUAGCAAUGUGCUUCCUCAAGAAUCUGCUGAUGUCUCCAUGUUGCCUGGAAGAAGCCAUGCACCCCUGACCGAUGAUUCCAUACAACCAACUAAUGAAAGCACAUUUAGUCCUGGUAAAACCAAAGCUUGUGUCAAGAAUGGCUGCACUCAGAAUGUUUUGGAGGCUCAUACUGACAAAGCCGUGUCAUCUUCCCCAGGGCAUGUGGUUAUAAGUGAUACUGACAAAAACUCUCGUCCACCAUCUGUGGGCAAACAGGAAAUGUUAGAUGUUACUUCAGGGGAUCAGCGUACCCGCAACAGUGAUACAAAUGGACUCCUAAUGGAAAACGUACCAACAGCAGCAGUGGCUAUGGAAGAAGAUAAUGGUCAUGGUGGCAGCUUGUCAGUUCGUCAACUAGCCAAUCAUGCGGUAAUUGCACUACCUGCCGCAAAUGCCCAGUCAGAUGCUAGUUCUGCAGAUCGCGGCGUUGCUGGAAACUUCGACCUCACAGAUCCAACACGAUCAUCUGUUGCUUCGUAAAAGGGGAAGAAAGAAGGAAAGCUUGCCCGUAUCAUUCUGGCCUAACUGUGGCCAACUCCACAUGCCCAAAUCUUAGCUCUGCAACUGCAAACCUAUCUAUUUGGACAAUGCUGUUACACCCCUGGCCACGAAUCAUGGUGCAAAGACAGGUAAUAGUCAUGAUUCUGCAGACAAAGAAAAACCGUGUGAUCCUGAGGAGUUGCAGGGUGUGGCUACAAGAAAUAUACUAUGUAGGUUAAGAAGUGCUGCUGCUAAGCAGACCAAGCCCUCUACAGUACCCAGACGGUCAUCAAGGCUUGUCCCAAAGUGAUUGCUAAAAAUGACAGGGAUGAGAUCCACCGCCAAGAAUGAUGCAUAGCUUAACUGCCGUCGUAGUCGAUUUCCAACAGGGAAUACCUUUCUCUAGACUCCAACCUUCACAGUUCUCGUUGAUUCAUCUUGCUAGCAACUGAGUAGCUUUUUUGCAUACUUCUGUCAACAGCUCAAUGCCACCAAAUGUUUUUUGCCGUUCUUCUCUGUUAUACAGCAUCUGUUAUACUUCACACAGUGCCGAGCUCCGCAUACACCAACCAUUGUACAAACAUAUCAUGAUUGUUAGGAAAUUUUUGAACCUGCAGUAUGUCACAUUGUUUUCCAGAUGGGCAAUAGAUGCCGUCGUACUGUACUGUAAUAUAUGGCUGGUUGUGAUU